rnacentral:tRNA from 1 species
GCCUGGAUGGCUCAGUCGGUUGAGUGUCUGACUUCAGCUCAGGUCAUGAUCUCACAGCUAGUGGGUUCGAGUCCCGCAUCGGGCU